ensembl:lncRNA
AUGAAAUUAAAAAAAAAAAUAUAUAUAUAUAUAUAUAUAAAAUUAUGUAUGUAUGUAUGUGUGUGUAUGUGUGAAACAGAAAGACUGAGGGAGUUCUUUUGUUGUUGUUGUUGUUGUUGUUGUUUUUUUCUUUUUCUCUUGGACCUUAUUUAUUACAUGAUGAUUUUACUAUGUAAAGGAGCACAGUGGCAAUAGCUGAAGUUGUCUUUUUUUAAUUUAUUUUUUAAAAAUAUGUAUUAAGAAAAUAAAGUCAAUCCCUCUGAUGGAAGCUGGAGCAAGGGUUACAUAUGAUUCAAGCUGGCUUAUAAACAAUAAUAACUCAUUUAUGAUAUGUAUAUAUCAACAGCCUCUUUCACUACGCUUACAUCAUGUGGAGACAGAAUAAAGGAAGACAGAGUUAUGCUACAUGUUAUUUUGUGAAUAAGAGAUUAUUAUAAUUAUAAUACACAUUAAAUGUAUGUUUAAUUAUGUUGAAUUAAUAUAAAAUAAUAUAUUAAUUUUAUUUAACUAUAAUUAGUUGUGACUGUGAUAAUAAAGGAAAAACAAACAGUGCUUCUGUGCAUGCAAAAAUGUUUAUUGUUACCACCAUAUUCUUAAUUCUAAAUCUUUAUAAUAAUAAUAAUAAAAAUGGAAACAAUGCACUGAAACAAUUGCUCAUGUAUUAUUUUAAAUUUAGAGAAAGAGAGAAAAACAUUUUUUACUAAAUAUAUUCUACUCUCAAUUAUGGUUGUUUUGUAUUUUUAAGCAGUUUUAUUUUCACAAUUUAAUCAAUAAAUGGUACCAUAUUUAAUUGCAAGCUUUAAACAGAUUUCAUUAUGUAAAAAGGCAAAGCAAAGAAGGCAACAUUAAUUUUUUUUUCAAAUUCAAAAUGCAUUAAAAAUACAAUUUAUGGAAUGAAAUGAAAAUUUUAUGUUGAUGGGGUCAGUGUUUAUUUAAUAUUAAAAGCUAAAUACUAUAGAAUGACAUGUGAAUAAGAGGUGAAUUCUAGCGUUUAUUCUGUCAUGUUAUUUUGAAUCCAGUUGACAUGCAAAUAUUGGACUAAUAUGAGAUGUUUUGUUUACCUGUUCUACUUUUAAUGUCAUUUGACUAAAGGAAAACCACUGGGCCAGUCAAUGUGAACUUUAGUACUUUGAUAUAAAGUAGGCCUAUAAGAAAUUUUAGGGGUCAUCCCUUCAACCCACAUAUCUUGAUUGCUGUUCAUAUGUAUUACAUAGUUGUCUGUUGUUAGAUUUUUAAUUGUGAUGUUUACCAUCUUCAAUAACAGUUUGAUAAGCUGAAUACAAGGGUCCAAACAAGGGUAGAUCAAUGACCAAUGUUGUCGUAAGGUAUAAAAAAUACCAAAAUGCCUUCAUAAUGUUGAACUGUUACAAAUAAAGAUGAUUUAUUAAACCAUAUAUGGUUAAAGUGUGUUUUGACACUGUUGUGUUUCCUCAGCCCCUCCUCUCUCUAUUUUUCCAUGGAAACUCAGGGAAGAGUUGAGGUAAGAACUAGUCUGAACAUGACAGCUUCACCAUGGAGGCACACAGUCACAACACCAAUUGUGUUUUGGAUACAUGCAAAAUAUGCACGUUAAAGGACAUAUAUUAAAUAUGCAUCGACAUUUCUUGGGUUUAAACGUAAUACAUUUAAUAUUUACUUUUGUAAACCGAACACUCUGCUGCAGCCGAAAAAAUGUCCUUGGAGCUUUUCUAGUUUUAAAUUAUAGUAAAUACAGUAUACAGUUAAACAGAUCGUCA